rnacentral:rRNA from 1 species
AACGCGAAGAACCUUACCAGGGCUUGACAUGCUGGGAAAUCCCGCAGAGGUGCGGGGUGCCUUCGGGCGUCCAGCACAGGUGGUGCAUGGCUGUCGUCAGCUCGUGUUGUGAGAUGUUGGGUUAAGUCCUGCAACGAGCGCAACUUUCACCCUAUGUUGUCAGCGGGUUAUGCCGGGCACUCAUGGGGAACUGCCGGGGUCAACCCGGAGGAAGGCGGGGACGACGUCAAGUUAUCAUGCCCCUUAUGCCCUGGGCUGCAAACAUGCUACAAUGGCUGGUACAAUGGGCUGCGAUCUUGUGAGGGUGAGCGAAUCCCCAAAGCCGGUCCCAGUUCGGAUCGGGGUCUGCAACUCGACCCCGUGAAGUCGGAGUCGCUAGUAAUCGCGGAUCAGUAAUGCCGCGGUGAAUACGUUCCCGGGCCUUGUACACACCG